rnacentral:piRNA from 1 species
UGAUGGGAUCUGAUGCCUUCUUCUGGUGUG